AUUUUUUUCUUCUUUUUUUCUUCUUUUUCU
rnacentral:sRNA from 1 species